CCUACGGGAGGCAGCAGUGGGGGAUAUUGCACAAUGGGGGGAACCCUGAUGCAGCGACGCCGCGUGGGUGAAGAAGCGCCUCGGCGCGUAAAGCCCUGUCAGCAGGGAAGAAGCAAGACGGUACCUGACUAAGAAGCCCCGGCUAACUACGUGCCAGCAGCCGCGGGAAUACGUAGGGGGCGAGCGUUAUCCGGAUUCACUGGGUGUAAAGGGAGCGUAGACGGCCAUGCAAGCCAGGGGUGAAAGCCCGGGGCCCAACCCCGGGACUGCCCUUGGAACUGCAUGGCUGGAGUGCGGGAGGGGCAGGCGGAAUGCCUGGUGUAGCGGUGAAAUGCGUAGAUAUCAGGAGGAACACCGGCGGCGAAGGCGGCCUGCUGGACCGCGACUGACGUUGAGGCUCGAAAGCGUGGGGAGCGAACAGGAUUAGAUACCCGAGUAGUC
rnacentral:rRNA from 1 species